rnacentral:rRNA from 1 species
UACAGAGGGUGCAAGCGUUAAUCGGAAUGACUGGGCGUAAAGGGUGCGUAGGUGGCGUAUUAAGUUGGAUGUGAAAUCCCCGGGCUUAACCUGGGAACUGCAUACAAUACUGGUAGGCUCGAGUAUAGGAGAGGUAAGUGGAAUUUCCGGUGUAGCGGUGAAAUGCGUAGAUAUCGGAAGGAACACCUGUGGCGAAGGCGACUUACUGGCCUAAUACUGACACUGAGGCACGAAAGCGUGGGGAGCAAACAGG